AUGAUCGGAACCAAGCAGGCCUUCUCUUUCAUCUCCAAGGAGGCGGAGCACAAGGGUGGACCCCGCGGCGGGUUCAUCAUGCACGAGCUCCUUCUCCCCGGCCAGGCAGGACGCCUCGCCGGCGGGGACGAGCUGGCGCUCUCAAAGGUCUACCCGUCUCCGCGCGUCGCCACCAAGAAGAGGUCCAGGUCCCAGGGACAGGGACCGACCGCCAGCGCAACAAGGACCGCGGCCGCCUCCUCUGCUCCAGCGCCGACGUCUUCGCCGCCGCUGCUCCAGCGCUCCUGCGACGUCUUCAGCAGCGCAAGAAGCAGCAGCGCCGUCUCCUCUCCGCCUCCUUCCCUGGAGCCGCCGGCCUCCUCUGCUCCGCCUUCCCUGGAGGCCUCGUCUCUCGGGCCGGCAUCCUCUGCGCCGGGGCCGGCAUCCUCUUCUCCGCCCCCCAUCCAGGGAUCGUCUCCACGGCACCGGCAGGGUGCCGCCAAGAGGGUGCUCCUCCUGGAGGUGGGCGACUCCCCCCCGAGGGAAGGCCACAACAUUUCGUGCCACCAGGUCUACCGCGCCAUGGAGGUUCUUGGACCCGGGAGGCGUGUCCCCAUCGACUGCGCUGACCUCUUCCUGCUUGACAGCGGGAAGGGGAAGAGGCAGCGGACGGCUGCAGAGUUUUGA
rnacentral:rRNA from 1 species